UACGUAGGUGGCAAGCGUUGUCCGGAUUUACUGGGCGUAAAGAGCGCGCAGGCGGCUCGUCAAGCCUGACGUGAAAGCCCCCGGCUCAACCGGGGAGGGUCGUCGGGGGACUGGCGGGCUUGAGGUCGGCAGGGGUUGGUGGAAUUCCCGGUGUAGUGGUGAAAUGCGUAGAGAUCGGGAGGAACACCCGUGGCGAAGGCGGCCAACUGGGCCGGACCUGACGCUGAGGCGCGAAGGCGUGGGGAGCGAACAGG
rnacentral:rRNA from 1 species